GCUAUAAAUAAUAUUUUAUGCACACAUAAAAGAUUUUAUGUCAUUGUACGAUUUCUUAAUUGUUGAACAUUAUAUUGGUUCAAGCCUUAUAUUUAAUUACUUGUGUAUAACCUCAGGGUGGGGUCACAUGGGCUCUUUUGACCAAUCAAAUUCAGUGUUGGCCAUUGUGGCCCUUUGUAUCCUUUUAGACUAACGAGGAAUCCAAUAUGGUCGAAAUUAACAAUUACGCUCUUAGGCGAUACUUCCAAGGAUUAAUUUUAAUAGGAUAUGAUGCCGUUUCAUUCCGUUUAUGUGAAGGAUUAUCUCUCGUUGUACGAAGACUUACACCAAUGGUGUUAUCCCGUGUGAUACUAAGUUUAAAGGGCAGUUGAACGAGUACACAUGCUUAUCACUAUCAGUGCCGUGUGCAGAAAACUUUGCGACGUAUACGCAGUCUACCGUGAAAGGUUUCCAAGAUGGCGGCGCCCACAGCGUAAUUAGCGCAUAUCGCCAGUCACUUUUUUUAUGCUGAUCAGCUACACAGUUGUCGCUGCCCUGUAUCAGUCAUACUGAUUCAGUUCAGAUAAGUAUUCAAAUAUCGUGUUAACAUUUGUGCCUGACUUUAAGUUCUGGCUGUUUAAAUUAUUAUUUUUUCUGCCUUUUUAAGAAUGAUGAUCAAUUCGGGUCAGCUCUAUAUAUCUUGUAUAUUUAUUAUUGUCUUAUUUAAUUUAAAGUUCAGCCUGGGCUUAUACUUUAUGAAUAUUUACGACACAUUUGUAUUGUCAGUUUAGCUGGGUUUCCCACUGUCACAUUAACAGAUGUCUUCACGUUUUUAUGAAAUAAACAAUGAAACACCCUUUCAUUUUAGUCUAUAUUACCAUACCUCAUUUAUAUGGUCAACUUGUGUAUUUUAAAAUUCUUGUGAUGUGUUUUGUUGUGCUAUUGUUGUUCAUGUUUUCUUUAUGGCAAUUAUUUGGUCGUUAUAUUUUCAUUAACAUAUCCUUGUUAAGUCUGUAACUACUAAAAACUAUAAGUAAUUUUAAUAUUCUUAAAAAUUCAUAUAUAUAUAUAUAUAUAUAUAUAUAUAUAUAUCUUAUUUGUAUGUGGUGUGGUGUGUCUUAUAGUCACAAUGUAAUUUUCACCUUCAAGUUUUGUCUUGUAGUCACAUCUGGUCAGUCUAUUUGUGACUUGUAGUCACAAUAGUUCACAUAAGGUUAUACCCAAGAAGUGUCCGUAAAGGUGACCGGUAGCUGCAGAAUCCCCCAGCCCGAGCCAGAGAACAGAAAUAUCCUUUCACGUAUCCUUCAGUUAAUGAAAAAGCGUGUCUUUAUGAUGCCAAAAACUUGCUGAAGUUUCUUUCUACAUUUUUAUUUAUCAAACUAUUUUCCAUUAUUAUACUUUCAUUAAUGCUUCAUAAGUGUAAUAUCUAUCAAUUUUAAUUUUUUUAUAUCAAUUUUAUGUACAGGUAUAUGUUUUGUAAACACAUUUUGAUUUAUAUAAUUAUAUACAUAGGUGUUUCAUCAAAUAAGCAAGUUUCAGGUUUCAAGUAUUUGUGUACGUAUAACAUUUGUGCUCAUUAUAAGCAAGACAUAUGUAUUUGUAUCUAUCUAAAACACACUCUAGUGUUAUUGUCACUAAAAGCCAUGCUCGCUAUUUAAUAUACUAUCAUUUACCAGUAUGUGUCUUUAUGUACUUAAGUCAUGAACAAUGUGAAUCAUAUUCACAAUCUUGAACUCGUGGGUUAUAUACUGUAUGAGUUAUAAAAAAGCGGCUCUUCUUAACAUUUGAUUAUGUUUUCGACUCACAGUAUAUUUUACAAUAGGAUUUUGGAGACAAUUAUUUAUAAUCUCUUUAGCAAUAUUAAUGUAAUUUUUGUUAUCUGUCAUUAUAUUUUCAAGAUUAUACCAAGUUUAAAUCAUUUUAAUCAUCUGUUCUGUAUGCUGCUGGUUUUAUAAUAUAUGCACGCUGUUAGUUAUCAUUUCAGGCCAUGCCUACCUCUCAACACCGCAAUACAAAGGACCUGUCCGCUGGCUGGCACUUCCUGUACAAGUACUACAAAGGGGCGAUAAGGCACGUUCCCAGCCCUUCCUUUGAACACUACAUUAACCUGCCUACCUCUCAACACCCCAAUACAGAGGACCUGUCCGCUGGCUGGCACUUCCUGUACAAGUACUACAAUGGGACGAUAAGGCACGUUUUCAGCCCUUCCUAUCGAACACUACAUUAAACCACGAAGGACCAGAACGAACAAUUACGGCUAGAAACAGGAAGACUUCACUCUUCAGAACAUUGUGUUUUAUCUAGUGAUCUUCAGUUUUUUAGUUUUAUAUGUCAUACUUAUACAUUUUCAAUGUUAUGUCCGAUUAUAGUUAUCAGCUCAGGCUGAUACUAAUGGUUUAGUUCUCUCCGAAGUAAGUAUGUAUAUGCCUGAUUAAAAUUUUUUCAGUUUAGACUGAUAUUGAUGUUAUAGUUCUCUACGAAGGAACUAUUUUUAUGCAGGCCUUGAUUAUAUUUUUCAAUAUUCGGCCUGAUUUUGCUUAUACCGUUCAGGCUGAUAUUGUUGUUAUAGUUCUCUACGCAGGAACUAUGUUUAUGAAGGCCUUGCUUAUUCAUUUUUCAAUAUUUGGCCUGAUUUUGCUUAUACCGUUCAGGCUGAUAUUGUUAUUAUAGUUCUCUACGCAGAACUAUGUUUAUGCAGGCCUUGCUUAUUUAUUUUUCAAUAUUUGGCCUGAUUUUGCUUAUACCGUUCAGGCUGAUAUUGUUAUUAUAGUUCUCUACGCAGAACAAUAUUAUAGUUCUCUACGCAGAACUAUGUUUAUGCAGGCCUUGCUUUUAUAUUUUCCAUUAUUCAGCCUGAUUUUAGUUAUACCGUUCAGGCUGAUAUGGAUGUUAUAGUUCUCUACGCAGAACUAUUUUUAUGCAGGCCUUGCUUAUUAUUAUUUUCCAAUAUUCAGCCUGAGUUUAGUUGGACCGUUCAGGCCGAUAUUGAUAUUUUAGUUCUCUACGCAGAACUAUGUUUAUGCAGGCCUUGCUUAUUAUUAUUUUCCAAUAUUCAGCCUGAUUUUAGUUGGACUGUUCAGGCCGAUAUUGAUAUCUUAGUUCUCUACGAAGGAACUAUGUUUAUGCAGGCUUUGCUUAUUAUAUUUUACAAUAUUCAGCCUGAUUUUAGUUGGACCGUUCAGGCCGAUAUUGAGAUUUUAGUUCUCUACGAAGGAACUAUAUUUAUUCAGGCUGUGCAUAUAUUUUUCUAUAUUCAAACUGAUUUUCAGUAUUCCAUUCAGGCUGAUAUUGAUGUUAUGGUUCUCUACGAAGGAACUAUGUUUUAUGCAACCCUUGCUUAUAUUUUUCAGUAUUCUUCCUGAUUUUAGUUAUUCCGUUCAGGAUGAUAUUGAGGUUAUAGUUCUCUACAAAGGAACUAAAUUUAUGCAUGAUUUUAGUUAUUCAGUUCAGUCCAUGCUUAUAUUUUUCAAUAUUCUGCAGGAUUUAAGUUAUUCAGUCUAGGCUGAUAUUGAUACUAUAGUUGUCUUCGAAGGAGCUAUUUUACCUAAGUUGGGUACCAGAUCAGGUCAUGAAUGUACUUACAUGUUCUGCCGAUUCAGAUAUCUGGACAUGCCAUGCAUAUAUUUAUCUUUUAAUUUCUGCCCAGUCAGGCAUCGUUGGGGUUUACACUACCCCUCUACCUAAACUUAUUUCUAUUUCUUAUGACCAAAGUUUUUAACUUAUUUUCCCUGUUUUUCUUAUUGGUAUGUGCCAAUUUUACCGUAUAUGCCAAUCUUAACGGGUAGUUAUUCUAACAGUUCUAGUGUCAACACAUCUUUCCCAUUAUAAACCUGUGUGUUGGCGUAUUAUACGAAUAAAAUUGCCUUCUGCCCGAUAAUCUUCAUCUCCCAAAAGAUGCUUCUGGGUCUAAGAUUUUGAAGCUACUGUUGGGCAUAUUAGUUUUUCAUAUCUCUGAGUUAAAGGGAAUGUCGCCCCACAGGGAUCUGCCACAUCCCUAUGUAAAUAAUCAUGCUCCACUAAGUCACACCAAAUAAGAUCAAUACGUUUCCUAGGUUUUGUCCUCGAAAGCCAUUACAUAUAUAUUUUCCAUCAUAAUCCAUUACCCUUUUUACUUUGCUUACUCAUAAGCGAUAAUCGUUAGCCCAGUUCUUUCACGUUUUAAAUCACGGGCUUGUUACCCGAGCUGUUCCAUAUGGUUAUUCCCACAGAUAUUCCUCUGGAUUAUUGGUAUUUGUUGUAUAUGUCUCUUUAACUGUCUGCCAGUUUACAUCUGCAGCCCAAUUGUUUAUUAAAUUUUGAUUGGUCGCUCUUUUUCAAGUACAUUCCGAAUCUUACUUUUGUCAAGGUUUUUCAUAUUAUGUAUAUAUGUUAACUGACAGUUUAUUGUUCUAAUGGUCUUUUACUCAUUUACUGGUACAUGUACUUCAUGCCAAUGCUGGUUGUCUGUCGGUUCCAAACCACAGCUCCAUAGUUGUACUACACAGUACAUUAUUGCUUUCCCUGUUUAUGUGUUACAAUUAUUAAUUUGCUUUUGUUGUGUUGCUUGACUGUUUAUGUUUAACCAACAGUUUAACCCCGCAGGUAACCUUUUACCUAUUACCAAGGUCUGUUAUCAAGGCAAUGUUUGUCUUUUUUAUCUCAUUGUCUGAUAGUUUAAGAAUGCAGUUCCAUUGUUUUACUAUAUGAUUGCUUACUCCUGUAUGGAUACAUAUUUUUACUUUUGUUGUUCUGCUGUACAAUCUAUGUUUACCUGAUAGGUAAAGGGUGCAGAUUGUAUUUAAAAUUUUACCAAUACCCUUUAUUCAAGCCAAUAUGUGUUAAAUACUUUUCAUAUGUUGUCUGAUGGUUAAGGGCAGCCCCUACAUUGUUUUACACUGGGUUCAUGAUAUCAUACUACUUAACCACUACAUUUUAAUAUUUUGCUUCGUCAGGUUCUUGAACAUUUAAGGUUAAUCUUAUAGUUUAAAGCUGCACAUUCAUUUUCACCUCUUAACAGGUACCUGUACUUAGUCUUAAUUCCAAAAUCUGUUGUAUACAUCUGUUUGGUCAUCUUGUUGGUUUAAGGCCGCAGCUCCAUUGUAUAACAUAUUAUUGUUUACUUUCUUAUCGAUACAGGUAAUUUUUCACCUAUAACAAAGGCCUGUAAUUAGGGCCAUAUCUGUUGUAUAUAUCUCCUAUGCAUGAUGGUUUAGGGCCACAGAUCCAUUGUUUUCCUAUAUUAUUGCCUACUUUUUACCGUUACAUCUUUUUUAUAUUUAUUUUCGUUGCUUUGCUUUACAAUUUAUGUAAAGGCUGCAGGUAAUUUUUCAUUUAUUAAUAAGGCUGCUGUUUAAGGCAAGUAUCUGUUGCUUAUAUCUCCUAUGUUGUCUGGCGGUUUAGUGCUCGGAUCGGGGAUUAUACUAUAUUAUUGAUUGCCUACUCUUUUACCGGUACGUUGUCUUAUGUUAUGGUGUGUUGCUUUGCCGUACAAUUUAUGUUUACCUGACAGUUUUAGGCUGCAAGCAAACGUUUCACCUUUUAACAAGGCUGUUUAUUAAAGCCAUUAUUUGUUGGAUAUAUCCCCUAUGUUGUAUGACAGUUUAAGGCCGCAGAUACAUGUUGUUUUUUUUCUUCAUGAUUGCUUACUCCUUUAAGUGGGCAUCUUCUUACUUUACUUUUGUUGUUUUGCUGUAAAAGUUACGUUUCCCUGACAGUUAAAGGCUGCAGGUAGCCUUUCACCAGUUUUACUAGCGCUUUUACUUUAUACAAAUAUUGGUUGUUUUAUGUCUGACUGGUUAAGGUCGCAGCUCCAAUUAUUUACAUAUAGGUCUAAGUCAAUUUUGUUGACAAUAAGGUUAAGCAGUUCUUAUUAACACUGCUUUUUUCUGGCAGUGUUUUUCUUAUGGAGCAUACACAUAUAAUUAAGUUAUGCUUAUUCUAGUGAUCGUUGAACACCAAUCCUAUUGUUUUCAAUUAAUUUACUUCACUAGGUUUUAUAAUUUGUUAUUAAUUAGCAGAUGGAUGAUUUAAGCCUAGCUUAUAAUGCUUAUUUGUCCUUAAUUUUCACAUAUCUGACCUUAAUCGUAAGGCUACGUUUAUAUUCAUUCAGGGGCAACUACCCCCUUUUCGAAUUGCGGUCCUCUCCCGUACUUCAUGGGCGGCGGGGUUCCCGUUCCGGUCCCCUUUGUGGCGUGUUUUUACCACCCAUUAUGCCUUUCUGGAAAGAAUCUGUUCUAUUUUUAUCUUUUUUAUGGCAUUUUAUAAUAAAUGCCCGUUUUCAAUCAACAAUAUUGUGUUUGUUCUUUCCUUCAAGUCAUACGAGUCCGUCCGGUCUAUGACCUUUUCAUUACCACCGAGGACAAUACAUAAAUAAUAUUUUAUGCACACAUAAAAGAUUUUAUGUCAUUGUACGAUUUCUUAAUUGUUGAACAUUAUAUUGGUUCAAGCCUUAUAUUUAAUUACUUGUGUAUAACCUCAGGGUGGGGUCACAUGGGCUCUUUUGACCAAUCAAAUUCAGUGUUGGCCAUUGUGGCCCUUUGUAUCCUUUUAGACUAACGAGGAAUCCAAUAUGGUCGAAAUUAACAACCCACCUCCACCCCUUCUCCGCCAUAAGGUUUUGACUCCCGUACUAUGUAUGUUUUUACCUGUGUGUAAAACACAUUUGUUUCUUAUUUUACUGUUAUACGCAUCAUAUAUUUUUCUUUUAUACUUAUUUUGGGCGUGUUUUUCCCGCCGUCAUCACAUUCAAAUUCAUGUUUUUGUAUGUGUAUAUACGCGUGGCGUGUUUUUACCACCCAUUAUGCCUUUCUGGAAAGAAUCUGUUCUAUUUUUAUCUUUUUUAUGGCAUUUUUUACCACCCAUUAUGCCUUUCUGGAAAGAAUCUGUUCUAUUUUUAUCUUUUUUAUGGCAUUUUAUAAUAAAUGCCCGUUUUCAAUCAAUCGGCGUGUUUUUACCACCCAUUAUGCCUUUCUGGAAAGAAUCUGUUCUAUUUUUAUCUUUUUUAUGGCAUUUUAUAAUAAAUGCCCGUUUUCAAUCAACAA